AGCUUGCUCUCAAGAAGUUAGCGGCGGACGGGUGAGUAACACGUGGGUAACCUGCCCAUAAGACUGGGAUAACUCCGGGAAACCGGGGCUAAUACCGGAUAACAUUUUGAACUGCAUGGUUCGAAAUUGAAAGGCGGCUUCGGCUGUCACUUAUGGAUGGACCCGCGUCGCAUUAGCUAGUUGGUGAGGUAACGGCUCACCAAGGCAACGAUGCGUAGCCGACCUGAGAGGGUGAUCGGCCACACUGGGACUGAGACACGGCCCAGACUCCUACGGGAGGCAGCAGUAGGGAAUCUUCCGCAAUGGACGAAAGUCUGACGGAGCAACGCCGCGUGAGUGAUGAAGGCUUUCGGGUCGUAAAACUCUGUUGUUAGGGAAGAACAAGUGCUAGUUGAAUAAGCUGGCACCUUGACGGUACCUAACCAGAAAGCCACGGCUAACUACGUGCCAGCAGCCGCGGUAAUACGUAGGUGGCAAGCGUUAUCCGGAAUUAUUGGGCGUAAAGCGCGCGCAGGUGGUUUCUUAAGUCUGAUGUGAAAGCCCACGGCUCAACCGUGGAGGGUCAUUGGAAACUGGGAGACUUGAGUGCAGAAGAGGAAAGUGGAAUUCCAUGUGUAGCGGUGAAAUGCGUAGAGAUAUGGAGGAACACCAGUGGCGAAGGCGACUUUCUGGUCUGUAACUGACACUGAGGCGCGAAAGCGUGGGGAGCAAACAGGAUUA
rnacentral:rRNA from 1 species